UACGGAGGGGGCUAGCGUUGUUCGGAAUUACUGGGCGUAAAGCGCACGUAGGCGGCUUUGCAAGUCAGAGGUGAAAGCCCGGGGCUCAACCCCGGAAUUGCCUUUGAGACUGCAUCGCUAGAAUUGUGGAGAGGUAAGUGGAAUUCCGAGUGUAGAGGUGAAAUUCGUAGAUAUUCGGAAGAACACCAGUGGCGAAGGCGACUUACUGGACACAUAUUGACGCUGAGGUGCGAAAGCGUGGGGAGCAAACCGG
rnacentral:rRNA from 1 species